rnacentral:tRNA from 1 species
UCCCCGGCUGUCCAGUGGUUCAAGACUCUGUGCUUCCAAUGCAGAGGGCAUAGGUUUGAUCCCUAGUUGGGGAA